rnacentral:rRNA from 1 species
UACGAAGGGGGCUAGCGUUGCUCGGAAUCACUGGGCGUAAAGCGCACGUAGGCGGACUCUUAAGUCGGUGGUGAAAUCCUGGAGCUCAACUCCAGAACUGCCUUCGAUACUGAGAGUCUCGAGUCCGGGAGAGGUGAGUGGAACUGCGAGUGUAGAGGUGAAAUUCGUAGAUAUUCGCAAGAACACCAGUGGCGAAGGCGGCUCACUGGCCCGGUACUGACGCUGAGGUGCGAAAGCGGUGGGGAGCAAACAGG